rnacentral:lncRNA from 1 species
CACACACACACACACACACAAAUAUUAAUAUCAAUAAUUAUCGAUAAAUGCAGAGCUUGUUACCAAGUUCAAGAAAUGAAGAUCCACACAGAUACCAGAUGGCGUACUAAGCUACACAUACCUCCCUCUAUUCGAAACUGAUGAUUCUUCUGAACGUGGCCAUUGGUCCUUGCCUCUAGAACACAACGUCUCAAGUAUUGCAAUAACCAAUCAAUUUACAGCUUUUCCCUAAAAUGAAAGAUCUACUGUUUUUUAGAUAGACUUUUUUUCUCCACCUUUUAUCCUCCUUCCUUUUCUCUCCGACAUGUAAAGAGAAGGAGAAACGAUGAACUAUAUGCAUGAAAUUCAGCUGAAAAGAACUAGAAUCCCUAGGGAUUCUGAAAAAAAAACAGACCUAAAGAUAAAGACGUUCCCACAAAAAUAUCGCGAGCGUCAAAUGGAACGUAGCUUAAGCCGAUGGCGCUGCCGUCGCUGGGUAUCGAUACUAACGCUUGCGAUUCUCGAAGUGAAGACUUGAAUAUUUUCGCGGCGAAGCAUGGACUUUUCUACGGGAUGCGGUAAUGUGACCCGCGUUUUGUUACUGGCUUCGUCGGCUUUCUGAGGACGUUUGAACGAGACAUAUAUGAACGUGACGUACAUACGCGUGCAUUCCUGUGUGCAGGUAACAAAUAUAAAAAUAAUAUUGUGUCAGUGUGCAAAAAAACUACAGGAUGGAAAAGAUGAACUUGAACGGUUGGCUUGCAUAUAUCUGCAGCGCUUUCACACAAUUCGUCUAUGAUGUAGUGAAGAAAAGUACUGUAUAACGAUGUUUCUGGAUAAAAAGAAACAUUAGGGUCAUGAAAGUAUGUGCCUUCGAGUCAGACGUAUAAAGGAUUUUAUUUAGUGGAGAAGAGGUUUGAGAAGUGGUUUUCACAAAGUGUUACUCAACAUAUGUUAAUACUAUUAAGUAAUAAUUACAAACAAAAUGACAAAAAAAA